UCAAUCUGUGGAAAUAUAAAGAGAAGUUUUWACAAGAACAAAAAAAUUUUAUUAGCUCGUGCUCCAUCUAACAGAGAGAUAAGGACACGAGAACUAUGAAAGUCUUAAAAGUAUAACUUACACGUGAAACACUCCAUAAGGCUGUCCAGUGAUCUGUAACAAGAUGGAAACCUGACAUCUGAACCUCAUUACCAUACUGCAUCUUGACUCUAACCAAUAUAUAAUGGAAUACUUCAGUAUUAAUCUGGUAAUGAUGGGUAUACUGCACUAAAACAAGAAGCAAAAACACUUGAUACAAUGUUGUCUAUGAGUAUAGAACUGCAAAUCAACCUGUUGAUGACCCUGUGACCUUCAUAACAAUAUGGACUCACCUUGUUGCCACAAAAAUGUUGUUCAUAUUCCAAGCAGCAGUUUAUUACUAAUCAUCAGCUUGAUGACGAGUAUUGGUAUGUGUCAUCAUUAGAUUGUGAUGAUACUACAUUGCAUCAAGCUAUUGCCAGCAGAUGUAUGACAGACAACUUGCCAGCCUCUCAACCAAGGAUCAUGUUGUCAUGGUGAUGAUGCUGUCAAGUUCUGGCCAUCAGAUAGAUGACAGACAACUUCACCAAAUCUGUCAUAUUCAGUUAUACCAAGCUGCAAAGCCUUGUAAGAUGAUGCAGCACCAUCAAGGGCAAGUCAAUCAGUACUGAUGACAGGAAUCAUUCACCAAGGAUAUCAAUACGAGUAACAUGGUUUAGAGAUUGAAAUCUUCCAGGAAUAUAAAGAAAAAUGAGUUAAUCUAGCAUUUUUCAGAAAUAACAAAAAAAAAAAAAAGAAUUCCAAAACAUUUUACUUCCUAGGCCUAGGAGAAUAGUAUACCUUGUGUAAACAUCUUAAAGCAAACACAACCAAAAAGACAACCAUUUCAAAGAAGAAUUUUGUAGAAUUUCAAAAAGUUGGAAGAUGAAUUUAAAAGAAUUUCAGGGUUUUCCCUAGGCCUAGGAGUAAAAAACUAGCAUUAGUUAAGAUGUGACAAGAAAAACUAGCAGAAAAAGGAAAAAUGUUUUUGGCUAGAGGACUGGUAACAUGCAGGGCUCAAAAUUACACAAAUGUUUGUGCAGGACAAGUAAAUUUUGAAUGUAAAAUUUCUGUUGACAUUUUAUUCUGAAAAUCGUACAUGAUUUUUUUUCUUUUCCUCGCACUCAGAAUGUUGGGAUUGCAUAUUGCCUGUUAUUUUGAGUCCUGUAGAUAAGUUAAUUUCACAAAAAAUGUAGGAAUUUUCUGUCCAUGAUUUACGAUUGAAACCAUCUUCAUUCAAAACUCUUUUGUGCACACUGCAAUGACAGUAAAGAUUCAAAAAAAUAAGUUUGUUUCAUUCAAAAACUACAAGUUCAAAUAUAAUUCAGCAAAAAUAGCAAGAUAAUUUUUGAAUGGAAAAAUGCUUUCAAGGCUGUUUAAGAUAAAGAUAAAUUUAUUGAACCCAUUGAAAAUGAAGUCAUAAGAGACCUCAACACAUCACAUCUUAUCACCUAUCAAUAAUCCAACAUGAAAAAAUACUUUUGAUUGCCAGUUCUCUAGCCUCAGAUAUUAGAUAUAGGAGAGUAUUUCAGGUUAUCCAGUGCUUGACACCAACACUAGUCUUUGCUGUGGGCUAGUGACAAUAAGGACACUCUAGUCCUGACUAUAGGGUAGUGGGUUUUUAAGGGUUAUGAAGGGAAAGUAUUCCAUUGUCCAGGAAAUAUUUUCUGAGCUCAUAGAUUACUCUGCUGAACUACUAGAUUUAUAGACUUACUAGCCCAUUGCCUU